rnacentral:piRNA from 1 species
UGUAUUUGGUUGCGGGUUGGAAACCUUC